rnacentral:rRNA from 1 species
CCUACGGGAGUCAGCAGUGAGGAAUAUUGGUCACUGGGCGGGAUCCUGAACCAGCCAAGUCGCGUGAGGGAAGACGGUCCUAUGGAUUGUAAACCUCUUUAGGCGGGGAGCAAUGCCGGGCACGCGUGCCCGGAGGAAGAGUACCCGCAGCAUAAGCAUCGGCUAACUCCGUGCCAGCAGCCGCGGUAAUACGGAGGAUGCGAGCGUUAUCCGGAUUUAUUGGGUUGAAAGGGUGCGUAGGCGGAUUUUUAAGUCAGCGGUAAAAUGUCCGGGCUCAAACCGGGCCGGCCGUUGAAACUGGGGAUGUUGAGUGGGCGAGAAGUAUGUGGAAUGCGUGGUGUAGCGGUGAAAUGCAUAGAUAUCACGCAGAACUCCGAUUGCGAAGGCAGCAUACCGGCGCCCGACUGACGCUGAGGCACGAAAGCGUGGGGAUCGAACAGGAUUAGAUACCCGUGUAGUC